GACGGAGGGUGCAAGCGUUGUUCGGAAUUACUGGGCGUAAAGCGCGGGCAGGUGGCCUUUUAAGUCCUUUGUGAAAUUCCGGAGCUCAACUCCGGAUGUGCAUAGGAUACUGGAAGGCUAGAGACUGGUAGAGGCGAGCGGAAUUCCUGGUGUAGCGGUGGAAUGCGUAGAUAUCAGGAAGAACACCGGUGGCGAAGGCGGCUCGCUGGGCCAGUUCUGACACUCAUCCGCGAAAGUGUGGGGAGCAAACAGG
rnacentral:rRNA from 1 species